rnacentral:rRNA from 1 species
GACGAACGCUGGCGGCGUGCUUAACACAUGCAAGUCGAGCGGUAAGGCCCUUUCGGGGGUACGACGAGCGGCGAACGGGUGAGUAACACGUGGGUGACCUGCCCUCAGCUCUGGGAUAAGCCUGGGAAACCGGGUCUAAUACUGGAUAUGACUCCAUGACGCAUGUUGUGGGGUGGAAAGCCUUGUGCGGCUGAGGAUGGGCCCGCGGCCUAUCAGCUUGUUGGUGGGGUGAUGGCCUACCAAGGCGACGACGGGUAGCCGGCCUGAGAGGGCGACCGGCCACACUGGGACUGAGACACGGCCCAGACUCCUACGGGAGGCAGCAGUGGGGAAUCUUGCGCAAUGGGCGAAAGCCUGACGCAGCGACGCCGCGUGAGGGAUGACGGCCUGGUGUAACU